GAUGAAGAACGUAGCGAAAUGCGAUAAGUAAUGUGAAUUGCAGAAUUCAGUGAAUCAUCGAAUCUUUGAACGCACAUUGCGCCCGCCAGUAUUCUGGCGGGCAUGCCUGUCCGAGCGUCAUUGCUGCCCUCAAGCACGGCUUGUGUGUUGGGCCUCCGUCCUCCUCCCGGGGGACGGGCCCGAAAGGCAGCGGCGGCACCGCGUCCGGUCCUCGAGCGUAUGGGGCUUCGUCACCCGCUCUUGUAGGCCCGGCCGGCGCUUGCCGACACAUCAAUCUUUUUUCCAGGUUGACCUCGGAUCAGGUAGGGAUACCCGCUGAACUUAAGCAUAUCAAUAAGCGGAGGA
rnacentral:misc_RNA from 1 species